rnacentral:lncRNA from 1 species
GCUCGUCGAGAUCAGGAACUUGAAGGUAAACGUAGACACACGAUUUAGACAUAUUCGAACCGCUAGAUUGUGUAAUACCCUACGUCCUGUGUGUGGGUUGGAUUGAAUUGCUUUGGAGGGGGUCCUACCUCACCUUAUAUUGUCGGGGGCAGGGUUACAGGUCGGUUGGUUCUAAGAAUACUAGUGGGAUACGACUAGAAGAGUUCUACUCUUAUUACAACGAGUACUUUCCAAUCGUCGACUAGUUCAUGUCUUUCCAUGUAGACUACGCCGUCAUGCACCAUAUUUAGGACUGUCCAAACCUUAUAUGUAUGUAUGACAAGUCCCUGAGUACUUUUUAGUCAAAUGCAAUAGUUCCGAGUACUUUUGUAGAUUUCACCGACUAGUUUUUGGUGCUCUUCGAGUAUUUCAUCUGGUUAAAUCUUCAAAGGUAC